UACGGAGGGGGCAAGCGUUAUUCGGAAUUAUUGGGCGUAAAGGGCGCGUAGGCGGUCUUUUAAGUCAGUGGUGAAAUCCCUCGGCUCAACCGAGGAACUGCCUCUGAAACUGAAAGACUUGAGACCGGGAGAGGGUGGUGGAAUUCCCAGUGUAGCGGUGAAAUGCGUAGAUAUUGGGAGGAACACCAGUGGCGAAGGCGACCACCUGGACCGGUUCUGACGCUGAGGCGCGAAAGUGUGGGGAGCAAAC
rnacentral:rRNA from 1 species